GCCUCGAAGCCACCAAUUGUCUUGAAAUCCGUGAGGGCAAGACUGUAAAUCUUGAGGUCGCUGGUUCAAUCCCGGCUCGGGGGACCA
rnacentral:tRNA from 1 species